rnacentral:lncRNA from 1 species
CCUGGGCUUCCUGAGCCUCAGUUCAUCAGUGUUGGCUUUGUGGAUGACACAGAUACCACACAAUCCAGAAGAGGUCUGGCUGCUAUGUCCUUCUUCAAGGUGAUUUCAGUCACGGAUUCUUUGAAAUAGCCAUCAAUGACCAUGAUUACAUUAGGCUGAAUGAAGACCUGAGGACAUGGACCACAGUCAGCAAGUUUGCUGAGAUGCACAAGAAACUGUGGGAUUCAUCCAGUUUUAAACAAAUUGUGGAGACUUACCUAUUGGGUAGAUAUGUAGACUUACUCUUCACAGAGCUGGAGUAUGGGAAGGCAUUUUUGCACUGGAGUUCCUGUCCCACCUGACAAGAAAAUCACAUUGAGGUGCUAGGCCAUUAGCUUCUACUCUGCUGAAAUCACCCUAACCUGGGAAACAGAUGAGAGCAACCAAACCUCAGACAUGGAGGUGUCAGAGACCAUGCCUGCAGCGGAUGGAACAUUCCAGAAGUGGGCAGCUGUUGUGGUACCUUCUGGAGAAGACCACAGGUACACAUGUCAUGUGAAUCACGAGGGGUUGCCUGAGAUCAUCACCCUGAGAUGGA